GCAAGUCGAGGGGCAGCAGAUUCUUCGGGAUGCAGGCGACCGGCGCACGGGUGCGUAACACGUAUACAACCUACCCUUCAGAGGGGGAUAGCCCAGAGAAAUUUGGAUUAAUACCCCAUGGUUUCAUCGAAUCGCAUGGUUUGAUGAAUAAACGUUGCGGCGCUGAAGGAUGGGUAUGCGUCUGAUUAGCUAGUUGGUGAGGUAACGGCUCACCAAGGCUACGAUGAGUAGCUGGUCUGAGAGGAUGAUC
rnacentral:rRNA from 1 species